GACGAACGCUGGCGGCGUGCUUAACACAUGCAAGUCGAACGGAAAGGCCCUGCUUUUGUGGGGUGCUCGAGUGGCGAACGGGUGAGUAACACGUGAGUAACCUGCCCUUGACUUUGGGAUAACUUCAGGAAACUGGGGCUAAUACCGGAUAGGAGCUCCUGCUGCAUGGUGGGGGUUGGAAAGUUUCGGCGGUUGGGGAUGGACUCGCGGCUUAUCAGCUUGUUGGUGGGGUAGUGGCUUACCAAGGCUUUGACGGGUAGCCGGCCUGGGAGGGUGACCGGCCACAUGGGGACUGAGAUACGGCCCAGACUCCUACGGGGGGCAGCAGUGGGGAAUAUUGCACAAUGGGCGGAAGCCUGAUGCAGCAACGCCGCGUGCGGGAUGACGGCCUUCGGGUUGUAAACCGCUUUCGCCUGUGACGAAGCGUGAGUGACGGUAAUGGGUAAAGAAGCACCGGCUAACUACGU
rnacentral:rRNA from 1 species